CCUACGGGUGACAGCAGUGGGGAAUAUUGGACAAUGGGCGAAAGCCUGAUCCAGCCAUGCCGCGUGUGUGAAGAAGGCCUUCGGGUUGUAAAGCACUUUCAGUGGGGAAGAAAGCCUUGGGGCUAAUACCCUCGAGGAAGGACAUCACCCACAGAAGAAGCACCGGCUAACUCCGUGCCAGCAGCCGCGGUAAUACGGAGGGUGCGAGCGUUAAUCGGAAUUACUGGGCGUAAAGCGCGCGUAGGCGGUCUGAUAAGCCGGUUGUGAAAGCCCCGGGCUCAACCUGGGAACGGCAUCCGGAACUGUCAGGCUAGAGUGCAGGAGAGGAAGGUAGAAUUCCCGGUGUAGCGGUGAAAUGCGUAGAGAUCGGGAGGAAUACCAGUGGCGAAGGCGGCCUUCUGGACUGACACUGACGCUGAGGUGCGAAAGCGUGGGUAGCAAACAGGAUUAGAUACCCUAGUAGUC
rnacentral:rRNA from 1 species